rnacentral:rRNA from 1 species
GACGAACGCUGGCGGCGUGCUUAACACAUGCAAGUCGAACGGAAAGGCCCUGCUUUUGUGGGGUGCUCGAGUGGCGAACGGGUGAGUAACACGUGAGUAACCUGCCCUUGACUUUGGGAUAACUUCAGGAAACUGGGGCUAAUACCGGAUAGGAGCUCCUGCUGCAUGGUGGGGGUUGGAAAGUUUCGGCGGUUGGGGAUGGACUCGCGGCUUAUCAGCUUGUUGGUGGGGUAGUGGCUUACCAAGGCUUUGACGGGUAGCCGGCCUGAGAGGGUGACCGGCCACAUUGGGACUGAGAUACGGCCCAGACUCCUACGGGAGGCAGCAGUGGGGAAUAUUGCACAAUGGGCGGAAGCCGGAUGCAGCAACGCCGCGUGCGGGAGGACGGCCUUCGGGUGGUAAACCGCUUUCGCCUGUGACGAAGCGUGAGUGACGGUAAUGGGUAAAGAAGCACCGGCUAACUACGU